UCCAAGCAGCACUUCCAAGUAUGACAAUGUCCGCUCUACACCAAGGUACGUGGGCACUCGUGCAAAGAUCUAACAUCUUCACCGACUAGGACUAAGUUUAGCUCUCCAUAUGGUGCCCAUUUUUUUACGGGUAAGGCAAGAGCUCUGCCAAUUCAUUAAAGUUGAGGGGAAACUGUAAAGAAGGCAUAAAAAGAAGAAGGAAAAGCGCCACAAAAUAAAUGGAGGUCUAAAUACUGGAUGAGAUUUUCAUUGCUGGCAUUCUUCAUGAACCUAUCAAGGAGAACAUUUCAAU